rnacentral:rRNA from 1 species
CUCGUAGGCGGUCCGUCGCGUCGGAAGUGAAAACCUGGGGCUCAACUCCAGGCCUGCUUUCGAUACGGGCAGACUUGAGUGCGGUAGGGGAGACUGGAACUCCUGGCGUAGCGGUGGAAUGCGCAGAUAUCAGGAAGAACACCGAUGGCGAAGGCAGGUCUCUGGGCCGUUACUGACGCUGAGGAGCGAAAGCAUGGGGAGCGAACA